UAUCUUUUAAAAAUAUCUUUCACUUACAUUUAAAUUAUAUACAUGUAGGUAAAAAAGUAUAUAAAAAAUGUUUUGUUUCAUAGACUUCAAUUUUCAGUGCUUCAAAAAGAGAAGAUGCCAUGCUGUGCUGCAAUUAAUUGUAGCAACAGAUCAGAAAAAGGCUUUCGRCUGUUUACUUUCCCGGCAAAUAGUAAACGAMAGUCGAUAUGGAUCCAAAAUAUGCGAAGAAACAAUUGGUAACCAAGUUCUUCUUCUCGCUUAUGUGAAGUACACUUUGAAAAUUCUCAAUUUGAAAGUAAACGUGCUGAUGGUUGGAAAAAAUUGAAGCCCAAUGCUGUUCCUACAUUGUUUAAUGUACCAAAUCCACCUCCAAGGAUUGAACCACUUCCACGGAGGUCAGCAUAUAA